rnacentral:rRNA from 1 species
CUUUAACGCAUCUCUACACCUCCUUGUGGUCACCGCUUCCCGCUGAGAGACCAGACAUUGACUGCGACUCCUCGCUUUCGCACCCCUCGCUUGUCCUAAUCUAUGGACCAUCAGGUGCGGCAUUUGCUACUCACGAUUCACAAUCCCCCAAAGGCGGGGGAAUCACGACGUCGAUUGCGUAAUUCGUGAGGCGGACCCCUCAUGCCAGCGUUCUGACUUUGAGUUUCCUUAACUGCCCCCGGGCGUGUUCGCCACCUCGUACACCAAAUUAAGCUUCGUUGCGCUUCUUGGAAUGGUCCAGAACUGUAGGAGACUGUUGGGAUCUCUAUCCCGAAAGGGAAGCCCCUGUCUCACUGUCCACCACGUACCAACAGCAGUCGAGCACAGCACUCUACAACCCAAUUCAGGGCGUUGCUCGCGUUGGGAACUAGAAUCAACGGUCGUAAGUCAACCCGUGAGAUUCCACUGACGGCCACUGUUUGGCCUCCUUCCACCCCUACUGCAGUUUAGUAGUACGGGGAAUACUGGACCCGAUGUGUGCACGAUGUUACCUGUCUUGUUUCCCGACGCUCUGGCGUUCCAAAUCGGUUAGGGUGUUUAGACAAGAGUCAAGCCUAGCGUCAGACGUUGAGCUGACGCACUUCGACCUUAGCGAUCAUUAGCGCCUAGUCGUACGGCGCCACUUAUGCAAGGGCCCGGAACAUGUGUGGCGGGCAGUGUGGUGCUCUCAAACGUUGUGGGCUUCAGCCACUCCAUU